ensembl:lncRNA
AAAUUUAUAGCAAUAUCUGCUACGUAAGGUUUCAUUCUUCCAUUUUGUCCUUCCGGUCCAAUACAGACCACCGAGUGAAUACCCCGUCAAACUCUAGAUAGAGUACCAAUUCCUAAAAAUUGUACAUUUGCCUCUUUAAAUGGCGAUUAUUAGGCCAGGAAUUCUGAGUGAUAAUAGUUACAUCAGCUCCAGUGUCUACAAGACCUUUAAUAGCUCUGCCAUUAAUUUUUACUAGUAACUGAGGCCUUUUAUCAUUAAUAGAAGCUUGCCAAAAUAUGUGUUUCUCAUUUUCACCAGUCACAUGUGAUUCUUCAUCACUAUUUAAACUACCUUCUAGAGCAGUGUCAUUUUCCACAGUAGGCAAGGAACUAUUUAUACGUCCUGUGAGAGAUUGUCUUCUACUGUCACUGGCAAUGAUCGAACUUUUCUCGGGGCACGGGUCUGCUGGAGUCCCCCUUCGGAGUUUCCCUACGUCAAUAGGUUCCUUUGCAAGUCCCUAGUCGAUCUGCAUUCAUUAGUUCAGUGUUUGCCCUUACCACAUCUCCUACAUAACCCAGAGGGCAAUGACCUGUCACAUGGGGAAUCAUUAGAAUUUCUUUGUCUACAAUUUCUCCUCAUAUAUCCCAUUUUACCACAGCUGAAACAUCUAUUCUCCUGAUGCUUCUGUGGACUCCUGGAGCAUGCUCUUCCUACGCGAGGCUCUGGGUCAUGGUGGCGAUGAGCACUGGCCUCUCGGUAACUGUGUGAGCCCCUGUAAGGUACUCUCCCUUCCCAAGUCCUUCUUUUGCUAUCUUUUCUAAUCUCCUGUUGUCUGUUGAAAACUCUUGGGACAGCUUCUUCUACCCAGAUUCCAGCAUCCUGUAUGUUACAGUCAACAUGGGCAGUAUGCUGAACCCAUUCUUCUAGUGGAGCUGAUUUGAUCUUUAGAGGCAAAAGUAUUCUUUUGCACAUUGGGUUUGCAUUGUCAUAAGUUAAGCUAUACACAAUUGGAUCUCAUAUCGUUGGAUAUGCUCCCUGUAUGUCUACUGCUCUGGUCAAUCCUUCUAAGAAGUCCUUAAAUGGUUCUGUUCAUCCCUGUUUUAUUUUCACAUAAGCUUCUAGUUGUUCUCCUGAUUCACAAACCUUGUCUCAUGCAUUUAGUGCUGCUGUCCUGCAUAGGGACAGCAUAUGGUCGUCAUAUUCAGCCUGAAUCUGUGGGUCAGCAUAAAUACCUUCUCCUAGGUUUUUUUGGAGGGGUGCAUCAACUCCGUCCCUGGUGGCUUGCCGUUCUAGAAGUCUGCCCUCUUCCUAAAUAAUGCUCUCCAUUCAAUUAGGCAAGAAUUCUCAAGGACAGCUGAUGCCAGUCCUACCCAAUCUGCGGGUGUCACCCUGUUAAAGGUGGCCCAUGAAUGCAACAGCUGUUUUAUGUAUGGGCUAUGAAGACCAUACGAGACAACCGAUUCUUUAAUAUGCCUAAGAUCCUUUAAUUGGGUUGGUUGCUAUGUAUAUGUUGUCUGCCCCUGGGAGUGUUUUUCAGAUGGUUGCUUGUCCACCACCAUGGCCAGGUAGACUAAAGGUGUGUGUGUAACUGCUUUAGGGUGAUUGAAAUACCUUUUCGAAGUGGGCAUCUCGGAUCAGAGUGAGUCUGUUUCCUCUCCGCCAAAUUGAUCUGCCAGCCUGGUCAGGAUUUCCUCAUGAGAGGCUUUAAUCUCAUCCAUCAUGAAAGAUUCAAGGUGUGAUGCAGAAUCCAUGAGUAGCUUCAACAAUUCUUCUGUAAGAUUUUCUAGACGGGUAAUACAUCCAUCCCUAGCUUGCAUUUGGGUGGCAUGGAGAUAGCCAUCCAGAGAUUGAAAUUUAGAAUCAAGGUUGUGAUUUGCCUCAGCAAUCGACUCGAUAGACAUUUCCAGUUUGGUAACCCUGGUCUGUAACUCUUCCUGUAAGCUUUGAAACUCAGUUAUAAGUUCACUAUAGUCCCUCUCACAUUUCCCAGCCAUUGAUUUAGUGGAGAAAUUUAGUACAAAUUGAAGCUUUGUCAAAGAGACCAUACUGUGAUCCCCCAAACUUGGAAUAUAAGGGCAGAAUCAGGUGAUAAACGAUAAGUGAAUGGGAUAAAUAUAAUAGAAUAAAGUCUUCAGGCAUGAUCUUUAAUGUGGAGGAAAGGAAAAUCUGUGACUUAGCAUAUAGGGGACUUAAUAAUAGCCCAGUACUAGAAACUGAUGUUUAGAAAAUACAUAAGAACUGCUUGAGCUAGGAAAGACCUUCAAAGAAAUGAAAUAACCUGUUGCAGUCUGCCCCUUUCCUUCUCAAAUUGCAAUGGUCAUUGUGUUUACUAUAGCAACAGAUAUAAAAUUCGCAGCAGACAAUAAAGGAAAGACAGACACUGCAGGAAAUUUGGGUUUGAGAAAACAAUGUUUGAUGCCCAGAUUACUGAGCCUGAUAAUACUGUAUUCACAAGAGUAUUAAGACAUGCUUUUCACCCAGUAGGAACCCUUAAAGUAGUACAGGGCUUUAGUAGCUUGCUGUGUCCAUUGUAGGUGAGAUCUUUAUGUGGUAGGAGAGGCCCUAACAGAUAUGAAGGAGUUAAACUAUCAGGUAAAGUCAUUUAUAAAUGAAAAGGCAAAAAGAGGCUUAAUGGGAAAAGAACAGACCAGACAAAAGGGUUAUGUCUGGAUUACUUGAAGGCAAUGUAUCAUGGUAUGUUUUGGGCUGGUGUUUCUAAGGGGAUAGUUGACAGAAAUCUGAAUGCCAUGUUAGUGAGUCUCUGGAAGAAUUUAAAGACUUGCUGCCAGUUCAUGGAAAACAAAUAUGAGAAAACAGGACAGAUAUAGAAAGAAUAAGAACCCCUCAGGUGUGGGAUGUUGUCCACCUAGAGCAUGUAGUAUAUAUUUCUCCCCAGUAACUAGGUAUUUUUCAUUGAAGACUGUUCACCAAGUCAAAACCCUUAAGCAGAAAUCUAUGUUCUGUGAAAUACCUAGAUGGAUCUUUGUAAAAUGAGUUCUUAAUUGGUAUGGAUAAUAAAAUGCCGAAGUCAGAUAUAGAGGCAAAUGCUGAGAAAUCAGAGAGAAGGAACAAGUCACAGCAUACCUUACCUCCUACACAUGUCUGCAGAGAGGAGAGUGAUUUCCUGUGUGUUCCUGCUUAUAUCCUGAUCAUGUUCAGCUACAUCACUUCCUGUCUGGUCAAUCAGCCAAUCAAUGUUUUAUUCAGUAACCAAUAAGAGAAACAUGUAUACAGAAGAUCAUUCCCCAUCAUCUCCUCUUUUCUGUCUAAAUAAAAAGGGUUUUAACAUUAACAUAGUAGAAUACAUAACAAAACAGUUAUCAAAUAGGAACUAUGGUUAACAAUAUUUAGUCCAUUAACAUUUACCAAAAUUUAAAGAAAAGAUUCUAUUGUCUAUCUUAUCUUUGUGAGUCUAAAGUCUCAUAUGUAACUCAUCUUUUACCAUAACUAAGGAAAACCAUAAUCAUAACUAUCUGUCUUCAACUCCAUCAAAGACCACAUAAGGCUUAUAUAUAAACUAUAGAAUUGACAGAGACAUCUUGCUGCUUGGACAGUCACCCAAAGUUUGUCUGUAACAUUGGAGCAUCCGUCUUUAGCCCAUAUGACCUAAAUGUGUCUGGCACAUUUCUCAGCAAAGCAGCAAAUUUGAGACUGUCCACCUUUAUUGGCAGUUUAUCAGUCAUUUUUCUCUAUGUCCCACAGAAUGUCUGGCUGACUCUUUGAUGAAGCAGGAACCCUUUAGGACUUUCCCAUCAAAUUCAGCAGUCACUUCCCUGUGGAUCCUGCAUGUCCAGUUUAUCAAACAGUCCAGGCAAGAGCAGUUUCUUGCCCAAAUGUCUAAUUUUCCAUGUUGAAGGUCAACUCCAUAUUUAGUUUCUUUCAUGCCCGUCCUCCUUUUUGAUGUAAUUGGCAUUGCCAGGAGCAGUUUUGUCUCAUUGUCGUGAAAAAUCCUAAACCAUUUUAAUUGCCAAAUUCUGUAGGUCUUGAAAGGUUUGAUCAGUCCAUCUCAAAUAAAUCUCUGCAUAUCUAGAAAACAUAAAUAAAAUAAUUAUAAGUUUUUACUAGGAUAUAUGACUAUAUAUAAUCUGUAUUUAAUUAUACAUCACAUAUUUAAAAGAGCAUUAUAAACACAAUACUUAAACAAGUGGAGAAACAUACAUAUAAUAAAAUUGGCCUUAAAUUCAUAUCAAUAAAUGAAAUCCAUACCAAUUCAAAGUAUUCAUUUCUAGAUCAUUUCCCCCUUUUCUCUUUAGAAGGAAAGUGACUGUGAUCAUUGACUACUUAUGAUCAACCCUGUUAAAAUGAAACCAAACAUUUUUAAACAAUAUUUGUGAAUGUGGGCAUUAUUGUCUCCAAACUGCUUCCUGCUAUUUGGGAUGCUAUAAAACAUGGGGAUCAUGAGGAAACACAGGUACCUGGCCAAAUCCUGGCUGUAGUAGCCUGCAAGGAUGCAUCACCUCAGCAGUUUGAAUGUUCUGUCAACUGGGUCAUGGGUUCAGGGGGCCUUGCCUGAUCAAACCAUUUUCUUAUACUUAUAUUUUGAAACAAAGCAUUUUAAAAAUAUAUAGAUUGGAUUAAUGCAGCAGCAUUACAAUCAAAUGUCUGUUAGCAGCUGUAGCUAUUUCCUCAGUAGUCAAAUAAUUCAAAGACCACACAAUAACAUACAGUAUCCAGAUUCCCUGUGUACUUCCAUCUUUAUGUGGCUUUUUGUUACUGUAUUUCAUUUCCUUUUAUUUUUCUCAUUUUCUGAGACAGGGUUUGUCUGUGUACUUUUUCCCAUCCUGGAAUUAACUCUGUACAUUAGACUGUUGUUGAAAUUGCAGAAAUCUGUUUGCCUCUGCAAGUGCUGGGACUAAAGGCAUAUGACACCUCCAACCAGCUCCUUUCUUUCUUCCUUCCUUCCUUUCUUCCUUCGUUUCUUCAUUCCUUUCUUUCUUUCUUUCUUUCUUCCUCCUUCCUUCCUUUCUCUCUCUCUCUUUCUCUCUCUCUCCCUUCCUUCCUACCUAUCUUCCUUCCUUCCUUCCUUCCUUCCUUCCUUCCUUCCUUCCUUCCUUCCUUCUAACUUCUUUAACCUGUUUCUUUUCUUUUUAAAACACACUGUAAUCCCUCUAGAGGUUUUAUUUCAUCUGAAUCUGUCCUUACUUUAAAACUUUACCCUUUUCUAGCCAGGAGUCUUUAAUUGUUAAACAACAUUGCUAAAAUUAAAGCUCGGCUGCUUUAGAUGCAUGGGUAUGUUUACCACCAGAACUGGGAACUGUGGUCACCACCUUAGUCUAUACUACCAUCAAGCAGCAUGCUGUCAGCUUGGAUAUGUGCUCACUGCCACUGCUAGCUUCUCAUACACACUAUCCAGUUGUUAGCAGGGCCUCUGAAAAGAGAUCUGCUGCUUUUUGCCACUUCUGACAAAUCAGGAAACAUUCCUCAAAGGAGCUGUCUGAGUCUCUGCUUGUCUAUAGUAAAACAGAGCCAACCUGAGAAAAUGUUGCUACCAGAAUCUCAGCUUGCCUCUUCUGUUGUUUUGUUUUUAAAAUCCCUUUGUAAGUUUUUUUCUUUUUGGAUUUUUUUUAUUAGGUUCAAAUUAGGAACAAGCUUGUUCACAUGUCAAUCCCUUCUCCCUCUCCCUCACCUUACCCCACCCCUCUCCUCCUACUCCAGACCUACCCCACAACCCAUACACCUUCCAAUCCCCAGGCAGGUAUGGCCCUCGACGGGGGCUCCCCAAAGUCCACCACAUCAUCCUGGCCCAGGUCUAGGCCCUCUCCCAUGUUUCCAGGCUAAGAGUACAUCCCUUCACAUGGGAUGGGCUCUCAAAGUCCCUUGUUACACCAAUGAAAAAUACUAAUCCACUACCAGGGGCCGUCUAGAAUGUGGAGGCCUCCUAAUUGACAUCCAUGUUCAGGGAUCUGGAUAGGUCCUGUACUGGCCUCCCAGACAGCAUUCUUGGGUCCAUGUGCUCCCCCUUGUACAGGCCAGCUGUUUUUGUGGGUUUCACUAGCCUGGUACUGACCCAUUUGAUCUUCAUUCCUCCCUCUCUGUAACUAAGUUCCAGAGUUCAGUUUAGUGGAUAUCUGUGGGUUUCUGCAUGAGUUUCCAUCAGCCACUGAAUGAAGGCUCUAGGUGGCAUAAAAACUAGUCAUCAGUCUCAUUAUAGGUGAAGGACAUAUAGGUUCUCCUCUCCACCAUUGCCUAGAUUGUCAGUUCAUGUCAUUCUUGUAGGUCUCUGGAAAUCUCCAUAGUGCCAGAUCUCUCCUUGGACCUAUAAUGGCUCCCUCUAAUAUGGUAUCUCUAACCCUGCUAUCCUCUAUUCUUUCCCCAACUGAAUAUUUCUUUUUUUCUAUCUUUUUUAUUUGAGUUAGAAACAGGAUUGUCUUACAUGACAAUCCCAGUUCCCUUCUCCCACCCGUCCUUCCAUACCCCUGCCAACUAAAACCUUAUCUGUCACAUAUAUUUUCUACUCCCCUUGGAUGGUGAGGCCUUCCAUAGGGUGUCAUCAGAGUCUUUCAUAUCCUUUGCGAUAGGGCCCAGGCUCACCCCAUGUUUCUUGGCUCAGGGAGUAUUCCUUUAUAUGGAAUGGGCUCCCAAAGUCCACACCUAUGCAUGGGAUAAAUACUGGGCUUCUACAGGAGGUCCCAUAGAUUUCUGAGGUUUCCUCACAGAAACCCAUGUUCCUGGGGUCUGGAUUAGUCCCAUGCUGGUAUUCUAGCUAUCAGUCUGGGGACCAAGAGCUCCCUGUUGUUCAUGUCAGCUGUUUCUGUGGCUUUCACCAGCCUGGUCUGAACCCCUUUGCUCAUCACUCAUCCUUCACUGCAACUGGAUUCCAGUUCAGCUCAGUGAUUAGUUAUGGGUGUCUGCUUCUACUUCUACAAGCUGCUAGAUGAAGGCAUAUAAGUCAGUCAUCAAUUUCAUAAUCAGGGGAGGGUGGUACCUUUGCACAAUGGAGUACUACUCAGCAGAAAAAAACAAUGGAAUCUUGAAAUUUGCAGGAAAAUGCAUGGACCUAGAAGAAACCAUUCUGAGCGUGGUAACCCAAUUGCAAAAAGACAAACAUGAGAAAUCAGGCACUAGGGAAAUGUCUGGAGAUCUACAAAGAUGACACCAGCUAACUAUCUCAGCAACGGAGGAGAGGCUACCCUUUGUAAGUUUUUGUCAGUUUUUAAGUGGAAAUUCAUGCCCCAACUCUGGGCACCAUUUUUUUAUGUGAACUUUUUAACCAGGCAGCUUCUGCUGCCCUGAUCUUGGAGAAACAUUGUAUAUCAUGGAGAACACAAUACGAUGAAGGCCCCAUCCAUGCUUCUCUACAAAUCAUUGCUUUUUUGACAGAGAAAUGGAUACAUUAUGGGACAUUUUCAUUGUAUUGAUGUUAAUGUUUCAUUUAAAGUCCACCCCUUAGCUGACUAAGACCAAUUGGUGUUUUCUUAGUGUGUAUAAUAGUGGGUCUUCAGAAGUAUGUUAAAGGGUGGUGGUAGCCAAAGAUCUCAGGGCUUGGCAUGAUCCUAGGCCACUCUUGGCCGGCUACAUAGUUGUGUAUUAACCUUUACAUAGAAGAUUCCUUUGAACCUCAGAUCAAGAAAAGAAACAACCCAGUCCUGCACCCACAGGCUCAGUCACCUAGGCAACCCUUCCUGGACCUCUUACUCAUGAACUCUUUACCUUGCCAAACAUCCUCUUUGUGGUUUCCUAAUAUCCUGCCUACAUUAACACUGGGUGCACAAACAACCCAUUCUACCCCUCCCCAUAUCCUGCUCUGCUGACUAUGUAAGCUAGCCUGAGAAAAAUAAAGUUUUCCAUUUAAUCAGAA